AUGAUCAGAGUUAUGGUUGCAGUUAUUGCCGCAGUGUUCUGGCAAACAGAACCUGUUUUUAGCAGUGAAGGGGCAGUUAACCAAGUGCCGCAUGAUCUGCUACUGAGUAAUGGCACAUUACAAAUCAAGUGCAAUCACAACAGUAAUGAAUAUGUCACUAUUCUGUGGUACCAACAGCUCGGUGCUCUGGACCUAAAAUUAAUUGGAUAUAUAUAUUAUAAAGCAGCAACUAUUGAGAACGCAUAUGACGAGCUCUUUGAAAUCAGUGGAAAUGGAGAAAAAGAGUCAUUUCUUAUUUCUCGAAAACUAAUGCAGGCUCAGGACAAUGGCUUGUACUUCUGUGCUGCAAGAACACAGUACUAGAAAUGUGGCUUCUUCCCCACAAAAACCCUCUAAUAUCUCACCUGUUAGACAUACCAUCUUUGCGCUUCUGCGAAGGACUAUUAUCUCCAGUUUUAUUUGUUUCCAAUGGAUUUGAUGUUCCGCAUUUACACUUUGAAACAGCUUUGUUUCCUGUCAGUUGGGGGCAGUGUGUCUACACACGUCUUGUUUCUAACUGUAUCAUUCUAACAUGGUGUGCGUGACUGCGAAAUAGAUGAAUCCAAAUCAAGGCUGUUUGUACUGAAGAACUUCUUUUAGAUUCAGAAUGCUUCCGAAUCUCUUAUAUCUUAUAAUAUGCUUGGUGCACUUAGCCUCAGGUGAAAAAGCAAAAUUGACUGUUACCCAAACACCUCAAGAUCUGAUAACUUAUGGAGGUUCUCUUGAGAUAUCAUGCUCUCACAACAUCCCAAACUAUGACCGCCUGUUGUGGUACACGCAAUCCAAAGCAAAAGAAUUAAUAUUUAUGGGAUAUCUGCUUGGGGAGAAUGGAUACCCAGAAGAAGUAUUCCAAAAGAAAAUUAAAAUACAUGGAAAUGCUAAUAAAUAUGAGGGCUUCUUAACUGUAUAUAAUCUCACUUUGGAACAUAGUGCAAUUUAUUUCUGUGCAGCCUAUUACACAGUUACACCAAUCUUCUCUCUUCCAUACAAAAACAUGCCACCAAUUCUUGUUAGGUACACCUGUGAUAAACCACUGCCAGAUAUCAUACUAG